AAAUUACUGGCCUGAUCCAAAACUCUCUGAAGUCAGUCAGAGUCUUUUCACUGAUUUCAGUGAGCUUUGGAUCAGGCUUAAUAUU
rnacentral:pre_miRNA from 1 species